rnacentral:lncRNA from 1 species
AAGAACAGAGGCCUCCAGCCAACUGUAGUGUGAGUGAGCUUGGAGGUGGGUCCUCCAGCCCCAGUCAAGCUCUCAGAUCACUGCAUCCCCAGCUGACUUCUUGAUUGCAACCUCACAAAGCCCUCAAGCUGGAACCACCCAGCUAAGCUGCUCCUGAAAACCUGACCUACAGGAACUGUGAGAUACAAAUGUUUAUCGCUUGGCACCACAAAACGUAGGGUAAUUGGGUGUGGAGCAAGGGAUAACUAAUACAUGUGUUCAUUUCUAUGAAUAUGAAUCGACGCAUACUGAAACAUGCUUGAAAUAUGCUUUUAUACUUUUUGAUUUUGCAAAGGAUGCAAUGGGAUAGAGGGGAAGGAGAAGGAAAAAGAGUGAAACCAGAAACAGUUGUAAAUAACAACCCACUCAAUGCCACAGAUGAGUUAAUGUUGCCAGAUCUUGUGAUACUGUGCGCUUAAAAUUAUACCUUGGGAUUGCAAUCACAAUGUAAGUCUUUCUGAUGUAUCUCUCUGUUACUUUUUCUCUAUCUGAACCCACAAUUUACUGGAGUCUCCCUUGUUCAUUUAUUGAGUGAGUAAUACAUGUAAGGCACCAUGCUAAAUGCUGUGUUCAGCCCUUCUGGAAUAAACUAGAAGACCUCCAAGGAGGAGGAAGAGGAAAAUAUUUUAGCUGUGGUUCACCCAUCCAGACUACUUGAUGGAAUGCGCUUUGAAUUAUUGUGUUCAUUUUCCUUACCUUCCAGAAUGCCCUAAUAAAAACCCAGCUGCUCCGCUUGCUCUUCCCAGCCAAGGCAGCUCUCCCAUCUGCAUGUGAUGGGCCACUCUCACCUGUCAGUUCUCAUAGUGAAAGCCCUGCUGGUCCUCCAAGGCCUCAUUAAAUGAGGGGACCUAUAACAUUAAAACAUUAAAAAAUAUUGACAAGCUAUGCUGUCAUCUGAACAAUGUUUCGCUCACAGUCCCAGGUCAAACUAUCUAGCAAUGCUAACAACAAUGGCAGAUUAUGUUUUUUGUGUAGAUAUUACUUAUGAAAACAAGAAGAAUAUAGCUUUCUCAUGAGGUAAUAUGUAUGAUUUUUUUUUCUCCUAGAGAAAAAUCAUGAAAGAACUAUUUUUAAAUCCAUGUUGGCUCAAAGGAGAAUGAAUUAGAUACUCAUUUUCUUUUUUAGAAACCCAGCUAGAUUAAAAGUAACUUCUUUCUGUUUUAAGAUUGGGAACAUAAUUUUGAUAUUCUAUUGUGAAAUUUACUGCUUUUAGGAUUCAGGGGGUUUCAGGAAGGUAUCACAAUGGUUGUUGUCUCCUCCCCAGCUGAGUCAAAAAGACUUUUGGUCAAAAAAACAAAAACAAACAAAUGAAAGACCCAAAACUCUGAAACAGAAACCUUGUUUAUCCAGUUUGAAAGUUGGUCAAAGUGCUUUCACGGGACAGCUGUGAAGCACUGUCCUUGAGCUGUGCAAAUGUCUAUACCUGGGGGGCGGGGGUGCUGCUUCUACACCACUACUGAAGCAGUAAAAAGCCUAGUGGCCUCAUAGACUUUUCCAGGGAGUGUUUAGUGUCUGGGUCCACUGAGGCUUCCCAUCACACUAUUAGGCAAAUAUACUAUAUCUAAAGAAAGGACAGAAACUAAGUAUGGUAAAUUUACGAUUGUUUCAUUCUUUUCCAGCACUUUUACUUGAGUAUAAAGAAACUAACCAAUGAACAAUGGGAAAUGGUUGGCAAAUUUUCACAAUUUUUAUAAAGUAGAACCAAAAAGAAACAAUGUUCUUUGUCAAGGAAAAAGAUCCCUAUCAAAGUGCAUCUAGAGAGGUGUGGAAGAAAGAACAUGUGAUUUGGUGGUAGACAUUCCAAGGUUCAUUAAAACACAUGGGCAGUGGCCUUAUUUGAGUAUUAGGUAUAAUAAGGCAAAAUUAAAUAGAAUAGGAUAUAUAAAACUAGUGUAGUGUCUGCCUUGCAACAGAUGUUUUAAAAACGUUAAUUUUUGAAAGACUACCUGCAAGAAAUACCUACUGUCAUUCCCAUUGCCACUGGGAGAGGAGGCAGGGGAAAAUCUGGGCUGUCUUAGAUUUUGGCUUUAA